CCAAAGGCUCUUUUCAGAGCCACCCACCUUCGCACUGAAAGGGCUU
rfam:Myotis brandtii contig187577, whole genome shotgun sequence.